CCCUGCCAGCGUGGCGUUGGUGGUAUAGUGGAGGUGGGUGCAGGAAAUGAGAGGAUGUGUUCCUUACAAAAUCACGAAUUUGGAGAUAUCGGAAAAAAUGAGUUUUAUGGAGGUUGAAUUUUUCUGACAGAUUUUAAGGCUUUGUAGAACUAAAGGAUUGGAGGAGUAAUCGGAUGUCUUCAACGCUAAUGAAGAGCAUAAUAAAGCAUGCAGAGGCACAUGAGGACGGACGAGGUCAGACAGGAGUCUCUCCGUGGACUAUGAUGUUUGCCGACGGUAUUGUGAUUCGUGGUGAGAGUAGGGAG